rnacentral:rRNA from 1 species
GAUGAACGCUGGCGGCGUGCUUAACGCAUGCAAGUCGAACGAGAAGUGAAGACAGAAACCUUCGGGCGGAAGGCUUUAUUUCGAGUGGCGGACGGGUGAGUAACGCGUGGGUAACCUGCCUCAUACAGGGGGAUAACAGUUGGAAACGACUGUUAAUACCGCAUAAGACCACAGCACCGCAUGGUGCGGGGGUAAAAACUCCGGUGGUAUGAGAUGGACCCGCGUUCGAUUAGCCAGUUGGCGGGGUAACGGCCCACCAAAGCGACGAUCGAUAGCCGAUCUGAGAGGAUGACCGGCCACAUUGGGACUGAGACACGGCCCAAACUCCUACGGGAGGCAGCAGUGGGGAAUAUUGCACAAUGGGGGAAACCCUGAUGCAGCGACGCCGCGUGAGUGAAGAAGUAUUUCGGUAUGUAAAGCUCUAUCAGCAGGGAAGAAAAUGACGGUACCUGAGUAAGAAGCCCCGGCUAACUACGUG